CGGGGAGAUGGAGAACACCGCCGGAGGCGUGGUCUCGGGACAGCAACUCUUUGCCAAAGCGGGUAGCAGUGGGUCAAGGUGCAGUUUCUAUUAACUCUUGAAGUGGAGACACGUGCGUCUGGAGCGCGCCUUGGUGUUAAGCUGUCGCCAGUGCAGGCUGCCGUGGAUUUGCCUUUGUCCCUCUCUACUCCGAGGCACCACCUGACAAACACUAGCAUCCACCAGGCAAGAGCACAGCCCUCAUGCUCUCGACAUGCUCCUCUUGUUCGCUCAGUCUCCUGCAGGCACUGAGUCUGUCUGUCUAUGAGAGAUGAGAGCACAUGGUCUGGAGCUCUAGCUAAGCAUGGAGAGAGGGGCAUGAAGGCAGCCUCCAGGAGAACCGAAGCUGAGGACCUGCAUCUCUGAAUUCUGGGUCGGGCCCUGAGUUCCCUCAUGCUUUACUCAUGGGUCUCACUGUCAAGAGAGAUUCAGGCAACACUCCUUCAUUAUAUCAGCUUCUGCGUAUGACUACUCACAGGUUAACGCAUUUUAGGCAAAGAGAGAAGCUGAUCUACAGGGAGGGCUGUUCCCCCAGGGAGCUGCUGUCUGUGUUCAUAGAUAAUUAAGGACCCUUGUAAACCUAACCAGUUCGUGUGUCCUGGCAGCUCAUGCAGUGUGGCCCAGGUGUCCGUGCUGUGUGGAUGGGACUCUUGGCUAUAACAGGGAGAUUACCCUUCACUGGCCUCUUUGUGGGCCCUUGAUGAGAGCAGGCAGCUUCUGGAGGAGCUCAGGCAGCUGCCAGCCAUAGCCUACGAAGGCACUCAGGGCUGCUGCCCUAGUUCAGGAUACUGUUUAUUUUCUAGUCUACCCCAACCAGGAUAGCUUCCGUGCCUGAGAAUCAUAAAAGCCUCAGGAUAUCGCCUUGGGACCCACAUGGCUUGAAGUGGCCUUGGUACCCAGCAGUGGGUUAGAAAGUGCUCCUGAGAGAUGGAGUUUCCAUAGCAUUAGAAACAACAGGCCAGGUCAGGCUACGUGGUCCCUAGAGUAGAACUCGGAGACUCAGGAAGAACUUUACAAUCAUGUAUUGUCAUCUUGUCACCUCAGUGAGCUAAGUAAAGUCACCCAGCCCCCAA